rnacentral:rRNA from 1 species
GUCGAGAAUUUUUCACAAUGGGCGAAAGCCUGAUGGAGCGACGCCGCGUGGGGGAUGAAUGGCUUCGGCCCGUAAACCCCUGUCAUUUGCGAACAAACCUCGCCAUUGAACAGAUGUCGAGCUGAUUGUAGCGGAAGAGGAAGGGACGGCUAACUCUGUGCCAGCAGCCGCGGUAAUACAGAGGUCCCAAGCGUUGUUCGGAUUCACUGGGCGUAAAGGGUGCGUAGGCGGUCGCGCAAGUUUGACGUGAAAUCUCCGGGCUUAACCCGGAAAUUGCGUUGGAUACUGCGCGGCUUGAGGAAUGGAAGGGAGACUGGAAUGCUCGGUGUAGCAGUGAAAUGCGUAGAUAUCGAGCGGAACACCAGUGGCGAAGGCGAGUCUCUGGACAUUUCCUGACGCUGAGGCACGAAAGCCAGGGGAGCAAACGGGAUUAGAUACCCCGGUAGUCC